CUGUAAAUGUGGUUGAUUAAAAUGAGCAAAGCUUUUGUCUGGGAAAGAAUUGAAAAGAACACCAGGUUCCAGAGUAAGAUAUUCUUGGAUAGAUCCGGAUACGAAUUGUAAUCCAAAGUUAAAAGUAGUAAUUGUACUUGUAAUCCAAAGUCUUUAAAGGCCUGUAGAAGUUUACAUUCCUUAGAAUCAUUGCUGGAGGUUGUGUUUAUAGAAUACCCGGGUAUUAGUUGUUUAGUAUUGGUUGUAGAGUCCAGCUUUCCAAAUAUUUGGCUAGAAUUGGUUGAAUCAACAUCAUCUGUUAUCACCGUGGUGAUGGCGUUGGUAUUUGUCUUUGUCUUUUGUCUUUGCUUGUUAUUUUGUUUUUCCAUGAAACAUUUUUACACCGUUUAUGAUGUGUAUAGAUUGGAUACCCUCCGAUAUUCUUUUACGGAAUAAUUUAUUUGACCGCAUUUCCAAGACAUUGUCUUAAGUGACAUGGAUCCCAUUAAAGUAAAUGUUAUGUUGAUACAGCAAUUGAAGUGGAUUC